CACAAAAUGACUCUCGGCAACGGAUAUCUCGGCUYUUKCAUCGAUGAAGAACGCAGCGAAAUGCGAUACUUGGUGUGAAUUGCAGAAUCCCGUGAACCAUCGAGUCUUUGAACGCAAGUUGCGCCCGAAGUCGUCAGGCUGAGGGCACGCCUGCCUGGGUGUCACA
rnacentral:rRNA from 1 species